UAGCCUACGGGAGGCAGCAGUGGGGAAUAUUGCACAAUGGGGGAAACCCUGAUGCAGCAACGCCGCGUGAGUGAGGAAGUAUUUCGGUAUGUAAAGCUCUAUCAGCAGGGAAGAAAAUGACGGUACCUGAGUAAGGAGCCCCGGCUAACUACGUGCCAGCAGCCGCGGUAAUACGUAGGGGGCAAGCGUUAUCCGGAAUUACUGGGUGUAAAGGGAGCGUAGACGGUAAUGCA
rnacentral:rRNA from 1 species